GCCUGGGUGGCUCAGUCAGUCGAGCAUCUGACUUCGGCUCAGGUCAUGAUCUCGCAGUUUGUGAGUUCGAGCCCCACGUUGGGCU
rnacentral:tRNA from 1 species